UACAGAGGUCUCAAGCGUUGUUCGGAUUCAUUGGGCGUAAAGGGUGCGUAGGCGGCGCGGUAAGUCGGGGUGUGAAAUCUCGGAGCUUAACUCCGAAACUGCAUUCGAUACUGCCGUGCUUGAGGACUGGAGAGGAGACUGGAAUUUACGGUGUAGCGGUGAAAUGCGUAGAUAUCGUAAGGAAGACCAGUGGCGAAGGCGGGUCUCUAGACAGUUCCUGACGCUGAGGCACGAAGGUCAGGGGGAGCAAAACGGGG
rnacentral:rRNA from 1 species